UAGAGUUUGAUCCUGGCUCAGGACGAACGCUGGCGGCGUGCCUAAUACAUGCAAGUUGAGCGCUGAAGGUUGGUACUUGUUACCGACUGGAUGAGCAGCGAACGGGUGAGUAACGCGUGGGGAAUCUGCCUUUGAGCGGGGGACAACAUUUGGAAACGAAUGCUAAUACCGCAUAAAAACUUUAAACACAAGUUUUAAGUUUGAAAGAUACAAUUGCAUCACUCAAAGAUGAUCCCGCGUUGUAUUAGCUAGUUGGUGAGGUAAAGGCUCACCAAGGCGAUGAUACAUAGCCGACCUGAGAGGGUGAUCGGCCACAUUGGGACUGAGACACGGCCCAAACUCCUACGGGAGGCAGCAGUAGGGAAUCUUCGGCAAUGGACGAAAGUCUGACCGAGCAACGCCGCGUGAGUGAAGAAGGUUUUCGGAUCGUAAAACUCUGUUGGUAGAGAAGAACGUUGGUGAGAGUGGAAAGCUCAUCAAGUGACGGUAACUACCCAGAAAGGGACGGCUAACUACGUGCCAGCAGCCGCGGUAAUACGUAGGUCCCGAGCGUUGUCCGGAUUUAUUGGGCGUAAAGCGAGCGCAGGUGGUUUAUUAAGUCUGGUGUAAAAGGCAGUGGCUCAACCAUUGUAUGCAUUGGAAACUGGUAGACUUGAGUGCAGGAGAGGAGAGUGGAAUUCCAUGUGUAGCGGUGAAAUGCGUAGAUAUAUGGAGGAACACCGGUGGCGAAAGCGGCUCUCUGGCCUGUAACUGACACUGAGGCUCGAAAGCGUGGGGAGCAAACAGGAUUAGAUACCCUGGUAGUCCACGCCGUAAACGAUGAGUGCUAGAUGUAGGGAGCUAUAAGUUCUCUGUAUCGCAGCUAACGCAAUAAGC
rnacentral:rRNA from 1 species